UGUUGCGCCCCUGCCUAAACGCGCGAAGUUGGCGGUUCCUUCUUUUUCCUUCGAAGUCAAUCGGUUAAUUUCAGACUUGAGACUGGCCAGGAGAACACUUUACCUGUAUCUUAAAGGCAAACUGCGCGCGUGCUGCUUUUCCUUUAGAUGUCCCGAUAGAUGAAAUUCCCCAUCCACAGGUAACGCUGUGGCUAAUGACACACAGGUACUGCAUGCCGCAUGAUCUAUAUCUGUGUAAAGGUUUCAGGGUCGAUUCCCGGGUAGGACACUGCCGUUGUACCCUUCAGCAAGGUACUUAACCUGCAUUGCUUCAGUGUAUAUCCAGCUGUAUAAAUGGGAUGCAAUGUAAAUGCUAUGUAAGAAGUUGUGUAAGUCGCUCUGGAUAAGAGUGUCUGCUAAAUGCCUGUAAUGUAAUAUCUGAUGAAAAACAUGUUUUAAACAUACAAAAAUGCCAAAUUACUCACACAUGUUGAGCCAUUAAUUCAAACUGGCAAAAUCUACAUUACAUUACAUUACAGGUAUUUAGCAGACGCUCUUAUCCAGAGCGACUUACACAACUUUUUACAUUGUAUCCAUUUAUACAGCUGGAUAUAUACUGAAGCAAUUUCGGUACCUUGCUCAAGGGUACAACGGCAGUGUCCUACCCGGGAAUCGAACCUGCGACCUUUCGGUUACAAGCCCAGUUCCUUACCCACUGUAAAAAAAAAAAUCUAUGCCUUCCAUUAAAAGUAUUGAUCUCAAAAUUCCGCCACGUUACAAGAAACAAUAUUAGCCAUUUUACCUCACACAAAUUAAACAUGCUGUGUUCCAAAGCAUUGCUAACCAAUAGCAUCUGCUAAUUGCGGAAAUCUCACGAGGUCAGAGGUGCGGCCCUGUUCAUUGGCCAACAAGGUGGUAAAGCAACUCAGGAAUUUAUGGUUCUGAAAUUGGGUGAUGUCUUUCGGCUGUUAGAACUACAGGCUCAUACGAUUCGCUUGCUUGCCUUUAAAAACACCCCCCCUCCCGCUUAUCCGCCAGCCCAGUGAUGAGUUUGGUCAUUUGUUCUCACAAGCCACCUUCUCUUUACACAUACAUGAAGUUACUGUGGAUGAGCACCUGGUCACUUUCAAAAGGUAUAUGUCCCUUCAGACAAUUACAUGCCAAGAGCCAGGGAAGCAAGGCAUGAAAAUCUGGUCAGCAUGCAAUGCCAGGACCAGCCAUGGGGGGGGGGCAGGAUUUCUGUCCUAGUAACAAUUUUUGGUCUCCUCGCCUCCUCGAAAUGAUGACAUCAUAAACAUGCAACCUCGAAGGACUGUGCUGCAAUGCUUGAAGAAUAAGCUCCAUAAAAAUCCCGAACCUGAGGGAGGUUUGCCGUAUGGAAAGUGGGAAACUAUCAUCCAGUGGGGAGCUGCUGUUUGGAACCGUCCAAAUAAAUACGCCCAAGGUUCCCCCAGCUCUGCUAUCAACAAAAGAUAAGGGCUCGAUUCUCCGCUGAGCGCUCUCCUUCACAUAGACCACGUUCCUCAGUCGUAUCCAGAAAGGGUUGGUGCAUCUGCAAGCCUUUGUUUCAACUGAGCAGGUGCACACCUGAUUCCACUAAUCGACUACAACAGUCUUUGCCGAGCGUGCACCUUCGAUUGGUAGAAUCAGGUUCAGUUACGGCUUGGCUGGAACAAAAACCUGCACAAACACCGAACCUUUCUGGAUAAGACUGAGGUCUCCUGCUUAUUAGAACGUUAUUGCACGUUCCAGGGUAACAGUUUGAGAAAUUUGAUCCUUAAAGAGAAAAAAACAACAUACUUUUUUUUUUUACAUACAUCCACUGUACCUUUAUUUCGGAGUGUACAAAAUAAAUGUUCAUUUUGAAACAAGUUUUGAUGUUAUAUGACUAUUCUUUCUCAAAUAAAUUGCUUAUUUUACUUAAAAAAAAAUGAGGUCUGUA